rnacentral:rRNA from 1 species
CCUACGGGAGGCAGCAGUGAGGAAUAUUGGUCAAUGGCCGGAAGGCUGAACCAGCCAUGCCGCGUGAAGGUCAGUGCCCUAUGGGCGUUAAACUUCUUUUGUGCGGGAGCAAUAAUGGUCACGUGUGGCCAGACGAGAGUACCGUACGAAUAAGCAUCGGCUAACUCCGUGCCAGCAGCCGCGGUAAUACGGGGGAUGCAAGCGUUAUCCGGAUUUAGUGGGUUUAAAGGGUGCGUAGGCUGUGAGGUAAGUCAGCGGUGAAAUGCCCCCGCUCAACGGGGUGAAGUGCCAUUGAUACUGCCUUGCUGAAAUGCGGAUGCCGUGGGAGGAAUGUGUGGUGUAGCGGUGAAAUGCUUAGAUAUCACGAAGAACUCCGAUUGCGAAGGCAGCUCACUGGACUGCAACUGACACUGAGGCUCGAAAGUGUGGGUAUCAAACAGGAUUAGAUACCCGAGUAGUC